rnacentral:tRNA from 1 species
ACUUUCAAAGGAUAAUAGCAAUCCAAUGGCCUUAGGAGCCACCCAUCCUGGUGCAAAUCCAGGUGAAAGUA